rnacentral:misc_RNA from 1 species
AAGAGACGUUGCCCUUCGGGGUAUACCCCCCACCCUUUGUUUAUUAUACCUUUGUUGCUUUGGCGGGCCCGUCCUCGGACCACCGGCUUCUGCUGGUCAGUGCCCGCCAGAGGACCUAAACUCUGUUUGUUAAUAUUGUCUGAGUACUAUAUAAUAGUUA